CUCUGUUUUCUGCUUCAUAGUCUGUUUUUUCCAGUGUGUGCAUGUCUGCACCUUUUGUUUUACUAAUAAUUUUUAUAAAUUGUAUAACAGUUUCUUACUAUGGAUCACAUGCAAAUUUAUUGAAGCAAUAUACCCUUACAAAAUCUGAAGUAAUAUGCUAUACUGGGCUUAGAUUGCAGAUGGCAUGACUGUACAAGUACGCAUUGUGGACCUGGUAUUGGAAACACUUGGAAAGUCUGAAUACUUAUUUGCAUAUUCAGUUUUAUUUCUGAUGACAAAUGGGGCUAAACCUUUUUCUUUUGUCCUGAAAUUACCUUUAGGCCUUUUCUGGUGACUUACUUGCAUAUUCAGUUUUUUCCUAUUAUUUUUUUAGAGAGUAAAACUGGAUGCAUCAUUAAGGACAGGAAUUUUAGUUCCUAAUUUCUUUUCAGGUCACCUCCACUAGCAGCUAUAACAUUUCGUAAUUUUGUACUGUACACAAAAAACGAAAAAUGGGGUGCUUUGGGCAGCUAAGGCUCUUAAAUUUGGUCAUAGAUGGACUGUAGGAAAAGGAACCAAGAUUAGGUUUUGGGAAGACAAUUGGUUUGGCGCCUCCCCUUUAUCUGUUCAAUUUUGGCCUCUAUAUUCUAUUUGUCACCAACAGUGUGUGUCUGUAGCUGAUGUUUGGGAUGGUCAAAACAUCAAACUUACUUUUCGUAGGAUCUUUAACCCUGCCAUGAUGGAAGAUCGGUACUGCCUAGAGCAGAUCAUCUUGGGAAUUGCCUAUACUGAUUGUGAAGAUGCUCUACAGUAUUAUUAACUUUAGAGGGGCUAAACUUAUCUUUAUUCCCUCAGUUUGGUCUAUUGUGGUGCCCCCAAGAGUGCAGGUUUUCUUAUGGCUUUUAUCUCACAAUAAACUUAUGACAAAAGACAAUCUCAGUAAGAGGGGGAUUGGAAACCUCCCUGAGUGUGUCUUCUGUUCAGAACAAGAAACUAUUACACACCUUUUCUUUGAUUGUGUGGUCGCUAAAAACAUGUGGCAACACAUCUGUAAUUUCUUUGUAAUUAGUCUGGGAGAUGACUUCCUUUCAUUUGCCAGAUACUGGCCUGCUAGUAAGAAUCACGCUGCUAUUAAUUCUGUCUGUGCAUGUGCUUAUGGAGUAUAUGGAAGAUUGGAAAUUCCCAUAUCUUCAAAAAUGCCAUGUGGACGGACAUGAAUAGUUUGGUGUAUGAUACAGGUGACUAUCAGGCGGUGGAUGAUCCUUUUCAAAAAACAUCAUUUGGAGGGGCUGAAAAAAAAUCUCCAAUAUGAUAAAUCUGCUCAUACAAACCCCCUUCAGGCUGGGGGUGGGCUGAUCUAUGGAGGAGUGACGCAGCUGGGCAAUGCUGAGGGGCUGGAGAGGUCAAUGCUCAACAAGUUGUCGCUGUUUUCAAAACCUGCAGAUGGCAACGAACCUUCCUCUCCUCCCAGAAGAGAUUGGAACCUCAAGCAUGUGGUGUCCAGCCCAACUACGCCGCUAGAUCUUACUGCUUCUCCAACACAAUCCCCUCUGAAGAAGAAGAAGGGGGCUGAAACAGUCUGGAAAUGAAGAUGGACUUCGGCUACGAACCUAACUCCAUUGCAAUCGUUAAUUUAGCUUUAGUUUUUGCUUUUCAAUCUGCUCAGGCUGCGGCCUUAUGAGCUGUAAUAAUCAGUAGAACUUUGCUAGAUGUUUUUAGUUUUCCCUUCGGAUGCGCUGUAGGUGCUUUUGUUCUCUGUAUCUCUAGUUUCGUUCAAGCAAUGGAACCAGGGGGGCUUUGGCCCUCCAAAUAGUCUAAAAAAACGAAAAAUGGCAGGUAUUCUUGCCAGAUUAAAGUUGCACUUGAACUUGUAAAAUCAUUGUUUUCAGCCACUUGAUUGAAAUAUCAUUUAUAUAGGUUGUAAAUUUGAAAGAAGCAAGGGAUUUCUCCAGGAGCACAGGAUUCAUUUAUGCUUUCAUCGUUUGAUACUCUCCUAGUUUAUCCGAGCAAAUUAAUGUCUUGUGCUGUUACCUAAUGUACUAGGACAUAAUCAAUGAAGAAUAGUAUACACAAUUUCUGAUCUCCCAUAUUUUUUGUCUAAAUUCACAGAAAUUGGAAUGGCAGUUACUUUCAGUUGAUCUUUUACCCAACCCUGACAUGUUUGCCGAUACAUGAUUUAACUCUUCAAGCAGUCAAGAUAACAAGCGAGAUGAUGAGGGAGCAAAGCAAAUGUUCUUUGGCGGUGAAAAGUUUUUGGCAGGAAUAUCAGGGGAUUCUAAUGUGAGUGUCUCUGUCUCGAAUAUGAUUUGUCAACUUUGAGAAUUUGUUAAUUGAUGUUGGAAGUUCGGCAUGUCUUGACUUCCUCGCUUAUAAAUUUUGUCGAGCAUCAGAUAACUCUGCAACGAAUGGAGCAGAAGAGUCCACUUGUCCUGGAGGUUCAGCUGCAUGUUACUGAAGCUCUCUAUCCUGCUUUAAGUGAACCAUGUAAUAGUUAUUGACCAUAAAACUUUAGCUUGUCGCUCAGUUCCUGUUUGUAUCAGUCAAACCUGAAACGCAUUUUUGGCAGGUUUAUGGGCCUUUCUUUGAUUCAUGACUGGGGUAUCUGCGUGCUUAGAUAGAGCAGAUUUAGAUCCAAAGUCUCAACAGGUUUCUUUUUAUCAUGUAGUUUUUAUGAUUGCAUUCUAUGUAGUAGAAUUAUCAGAUAUAACACAUAUGGAUAUUCUUUGCAUUCUUACUCUUUUCCUUCUCCUAUUUUGCCAACAUGCAGAAGCAGCAGGAUCUUCCAUGGUAAACAGAGUUCCUUUGCAUUGAAGAUGCUGGUAAGGACUAGCAGCCCAAUCAACUUUGAAUAUGCUAUUUAUAGACAUCUAUAGUGACUUGUUUGUUGAAAUUUUGUUUGCGUCAACAGAGUUUUAGCCUGACCUUGUAAUGCAAUCACUGUUCUUCUCACGGGUACAUUUUUUUGCUUGUCUAUUGAGUACUGUACGCUUCUCUGAUUACAUAAUUAUUCAGGCUUUCUUGUCAGAGAAUUUUUUCUAUUGUAGUCACCUAGUGUUUUUCUCAUUAUUUUUGAAGGGUAGCAUUUCAGACAGGGAGAGUUCAAAAAACAUGUCUUGCAUAAAGGUUGCUGGGCUGUUUCUGAGGUAAGAUACAUACCUUGUUUAUAGUGACGAAACUACACAAGUCAUGAAGUUUAUAGUCAUUUACUUACUCUCUUAAUUUAGAUGGAAAUCCAGUACAAUUUAUAUCUAUGCACUUCUUAUGUUACUUUGGCAAUGUGAACUUCUGAUAUAACCGUGAUAGAGAUUUUAUUUGGGCUAUGGAUAUAAUACUUCUUUCCAUCUUUUUGUCAAAACCUGUUAGGAAUACACACCUUUGCUGUGUCUCAUGUGUGAAUAUUAUUUCUACGUCGACACAUUUUUUCGUCCUCCGUGGACAUUGAUACAAGUUUUUUUUAAUCAUUUAUAGAAGCUGUUCCACCAGAAUCUUUGCCUAUGCCUGAUUUCGGUGAAUACUGAUUAUGCCUUCGUUUUUGUACUACUGCUUGUAUCAUAUCAAGUUAUCAACCGUCUCAGGGCCUAGUCUAUUAUGCUACUUUAUCAGGUUAAAACAUUUGUCCUCCAAUUUAUCCAUUUGGGAAUCAAUUCUUGAAAUUUGCUGCUGGUAUUUCUUUCUUUUCAUUUUAUUGUCUUGAGACCACUCCUCUCCAUCAUCUCCAAAGUGUGCUUCGAAAGCAGUCAUCACAUGCUAGCCUCUUACGGUGUGUCUUCUUCAACAUUAACAGUGGAACAUAAUGUUCAACUUUUCUGUUUGAUUAAAUAUUGCCUGUAAUUUUGCAUUUUAGGUGACCUUUCUGUUAGAUGUGUAUAGUCUCUCUUGCCUUUACCAUACACAUGUAUAUGUACUCGCACUUGGCCCUCCUGUGAAUGUAGUUGCCCAUUCCUAACAUUGUAUCAGAUGCUUAGGUUCCUCUCCCGCUCCCGCACGCUCGCAGCUCCGUGCCUAGCUCCCCCGUCGCCGGCCUCCCUCUACCUCGUUGCCGGCGCCGGCCACCUCCUCCCUCGCCCCCGGCUCUCUCCCUCCCCGCCACCACGUCGUCUCGCCCCGGCCUGCGCUACCCCGAGCUCGGCCGCGGCCUGCCGUCGCUGUCCCGCGCCGCCCCGAGCGCGGCCGCAGCCUGCCGUUGCCGCCUCGCGCNNNNNNNNNNNNNNNNNNNNNNNNNNNNNNNNNNNNNNNNNNNNNNNNNNNNNNNNNNNNNNNNNNNNNNNNNNNNNNNNNNNNNNNNNNNNNNNNNNNNNNNNNNNNNNNNNNNNNNNNNNNNNNNNNNNNNNNNNNNNNNNNNNNNNNNNNNNNNNNNNNNNNNNNNNNNNNNNNNNNNNNNNNNNNNNNNNNNNNNNNNNNNNNNNNNNNNNNNNNNNNNNNNNNNNNNNNNNNNNNNNNNNNNNNNNNNNNNNNNNNNNNNNNNNNNNNNNNNNNNNNNNNNNNNNNNNNNNNNNNNNNNNNNNNNNNNNNNNNNNNNNNNNNNNNNNNNNNNNNNNNNNNNNNNNNNNNNNNNNNNNNNNNNCAGCGCGAGCCCGAUCCCGAUCUGGAUCGGGGUCUCCUGUAGCAGUUUACUAUAGCAGUUGACAAAAAAAAGAGCUCCUCAUGUCUUCUUCGGGCUAUGUCGCCGUUCCUCGGUGCUCAGUGAUCUUCGAUGGCACCAACUAUGCCGAGUUUGCGGGCUUUAUGUGUAUCCACAUGCGCGGUCUCCUUCUGUGGGGUGUUCUCUCUGGCGAGGUCCUCUGUCCGCCUUGCCCUGUUGCUCCAGUGGCUCCUACCCCGCCAGCAUCGCCGGUUCUUGCUGCUGAUGCUUCUCAGGCUGAUUGUGAUGCCGCCAAGGCUCUCGAUGAUACUGCAGUUGAUGCCUAUGAUCAGCAGAUGUCAACCUAUUUGGAUGCCCUUUCUGCCUAUCGUGAUGAUCUGUCUGCUUACACUCAGUGGUGCAAUGAUGAUGCUCGUGCUGCUGCUGUUCUUACUGCGAGUGUCCUUCCUCAGUUCGCCUUGGAGUUCAUGGGACUUGGCACAGUUGGAGCGAUGUGGUCUUAUCUCUGUCAGUGCUAUCAGCCCUCUGGUGAUGCUCUCUACCUAUCUGUGGUGCGUCAGGAGCAUGCACUCCAGCAAGGUGAUUCCUCUGUUGAUGAGUUCUAUUCACAGUGCUCUGCCAUCUGGCGUCAGCUUGACUCUCUUCGGACCGUCGUUUGUGGAACUUGCCGUUGCUGUCGGACUACACGGUCCAAUUUGGAGUUUCAGCGGGUUCACGAGUUCUUAUCUCGUCUUCGCUCUGAGUUCGAGCCUCGUCGUGCUCACCUGCUCGCUCGUGGUCGUGUUCCUCUCUCGGAGGUACUUGCUGAGCUUCGUGCUGAAGAGACCCGCCUACGCUCUGCUGGGUUACUUGUGGUUCCAUCAGUGUUGGCCGCCCGAGCUCCUAUGCCACCUGCUCGCCUCACCGCUCCACCGCUCCUGCCUACUCCUUCAGGGGGGUGGGUCGUCCUUCUUAUGCUGAGAGGGGCCGGUCGCACCGUGACACCUUCUGUGGCUACUGCUCUCGGCCAGGUCACCCAGAGUCUGAUUGCCGUGAGAAGAAGCGAGACCAGAGGCGCUCCUCUUCCAGUGGGACUCCUGGAUCCUCCUCGACCCCGUCACUCACUGACCAGGACAUUAUGAGGCUCAAGCGUCUCUUAGCUUCCUCAGGCUCUUCGUCGACCGUUUUCGCUGCUGCUGUGACUGCAGCCACUGCUCCACCACCGCAGGCAUCUACACAGUCAGGUACAUCUUCGUGGGUUCUGGAUUCUGGAGCCUCUUUUCAUAUGUCUUCUGAUUCUUCCGUGCUGUCUUCUCUCCGACCUCUUGAUUCGCCUGUUAAUGUUCUUACCGCUGAUGGCACACCUCUUCCUGUUGCUAGCCGUGGUCUUCUUUCCACUCCAUAUUUUUUGUUCCUAGUGUUUCACAUGUUCCUCGCCUCACCAUGAAUCUUUUUUCCGCUGCCCAACUUACUGAUUCUGGUUGUCGUGUCAUUCUUGAUACCGACUCUUACUCCAUUCAGGAUCGUUGCACCAAGGCUUUGGUUGGUGCUGGCCCCCGGCGCCGUGAGUCAGAGGGCCUUUGGGAGGUUGACUGGCUUUGUGUUCCUUCCACUGUCACCACUUCAGCCAGCUCUCAUGCUCUUGCUGCCGCUUCGUCUCGUCCUUCCAGCAGUGGCAUCAUCGCCUUGGUCACAUAUGUGGCUCUCGCUUGUCUUCUUUAGUUCGUCAGGGCCUCUUAGGGUCUGUAUCUGGAGAUGUUUCUUUACAUUGUAAUGGCUGCAGACUUGGCAAACAGACCCAGUUACCUUAUCCUACCAGUGAGUCGGUAUCUCAGCGUCCUUUUGACUUAGUUCAUUCUGAUGUAUGGGGUCCUGCUCCCUUUGAUUCGAAAGGUGGCCACCGCUACUAUAUCUUGUUUAUUGAUGAUUUCUCUCGCUACACUUGGCUCUACUUUAUGAAAUCUCGUAGCGAGGUUCUCUCUAUAUACAAACGUUUUGCUGCCAUGGUUCACACCCAGUUUUCCACGCCCAUUCGUACUUUUCGUGCUGACUCCGUUGGUGAGUUUAUCUCCCAGCUGUUGCGUGGUUUUCUUGCGGAACAGGGUACUCUUGCCCAGUUCUCAUGUCCUGGUGCACAUGCUCAGAAUGGCGUUGCCGAACGUAAGCAUCGUCAUCUACUUGAGACGACUCGUGCUCUGAUGAUUGCCGCUUCUCUCCCACCCCAUUUUUGGGCUGAGGCUGUUUCUGCAUCCACCUAUCUCAUCAACAUACAGCCAUCGACUGCUCUGCAGGGUGGUAUUCCUAUGGAGUGUCUCACUGGUCGCUCUCCUAACUACUCAGCUCUUCGUAUGUUUGGAUGUGUGUGCUAUGCCCUUCUUGCCCCACGAGAACGCACCAAACUGACUGCUCAGUCGGUUGAGUGUGUUUUUCUUGGCUACAGUGAUGAGCACAAGGGCUAUCGCUGCUGGGAUCCUGUUGGUCGUCGUUUGCGCAUCUCGCGUGAUGUGACCUUUGACGAGUCUCGCUCUUACUACCCACGUCCUUCUACCUCGAGCUUCUCUGUGGACGAUCUUUCUUUUCUUCUUCUCCCUGAUACACCCUGCUAUGUGCCUCCUCAUGUUUUUCCUCCUCCGCCUGCACCUCUCCUUCCUUCUCCUUCACCACCGACACCAUCUUCCCCAUCCUCCUCCUCCAACUCUCCACCAUCAUCUCCAGUCCAUCGCCCUCUCUUACCAUUUCCUCUUCACUAUACUCGUCGCCCUCGUUCUGAGGAUGUUUCCCCUGAUGCGCCUUCCACCUCUGGUGCACCUCCUUUCACGCCUCCCCCGGUUCAUAACCUCCGUGCUCGGCCUCGCCCCCGCCUGAUCGCUACUCUCCUGAUCGGUACGGUCACUCUGUUAUUGCUGAGCCCACUUCCUAUCGGACUGCCAUGACUCAGCCUAAAUGGAAGCUUGCGAUGGCCGAAGAGCUUGCUGCCCUUGAGCGCUCUGGCACAUGGGAUCUGGUUUCCCUCCCUUCCGGUGUCCGUCCCAUCACCUGCAAGUGGGUCUACAAGAUUAAGACUCGCUCUGAUGGUUCUCUUGAGCGCUACAAAGCGCGCCUUGUGGCCCGUGGUUUUCAGCAGGAGCAGGGACGCGAUUAUGAUGAGACAUUCGCUCCUGUGGCCCAUAUGACCACUGUUCGCACUCUUCUUGCUGUUGCUUCUGUUCGUCAUUGGUCUAUCUCUCAACUUGAUGUUCAGAACACUUUUCUUAAUGGCGAGUUGCGUGAGGAGGUCUAUAUGCAGCCCCCACCGGGGUACUAUGCUCCUGAUGGUUUGGUCUGUCGACUUCGCCGCUCCCUCUAUGGUCUUAAACAGGCCCCUCGCGCCUGGUUUGAGCGCUUCGCCUCUAUGGUGACUGCCGCUGGCUUCUUGCCCAAUGAUCAUGAUCCCGCGUUGUUUGUUCACACGUCUCCUCGUGGUCGGACUCUGCUCCUUCUCUAUGUUGAUGACAUGAUCAUCACUGGUGACGACUCUGACUACAUAGCCUUUGUUAAGGCUCGCCUUCGCGACCAGUUCCUCAUGACUGAUCUUGGUACACUUCGCUAUUUUCUUGGGAUUGAGAUCUCCUCGACCUCUGAUGGCUUCUACAUCUCCCAAGAAAAAUAUAUUCAGGAUCUUCUUGCUCGCGCUGCUCUCGGUGAUGAGCGCAUAGUUGUGACUCCUAUGGAACUCAACGUUCAGCUUCGUGCUUCUGAUGGUGACCCUCUCCCUAACCCCACUCGCUAUCGUCACCUUGUUGGCAGUCUUGUCUAUCUUGCUGUUACGCGUCCUGAUAUCUCCUAUCCUAUUCAUAUCCUGAGUCAGUUCGUUUCAGCCCCCACCUCUGUCCACUAUAGUCAUCUCCUCCGUGUUCUACGAUAUCUUCGUGGCACGCUCUCUCAGCGCCUUUUCUUUCCCCGCUCCAGCUCUCUUGAGCUCCAGCCCUACUCUGAUGCUACCUGGGCUAGUGAUCCCUCUGAUCGACGCUCGCUGUCUGCUUAUUGUGUCUUUCUUGGUGGCUCUCUUAUUGCCUGGAAGACAAAGAAACAGACUGCCGUUUCUCGCUCGAGUACAGAGGCUGAGUUGCGAGCCAUGGCUAUGCUGACGGCUGAGGUGAUCUGGUUACGGUGGUUACUUGAGGACUUUGGUGUGUCUGCUACUACCUCGACUCCCUUAUUGUCAGACAGUACUGGUGCUAUCAGUAUUGCGCGUGACCUGGUGAAGCAUGAGCUCACCAAGCACAUCGGUGUGGAUGCCCACUUUGUGCGUGCUGCUGUGCAGGAUCAGACUCUCGCUCUUCACUAUGUGCCCUCUGAGUUACAGUUGGCGGACUUCUUCACGAAGGCACAGACUCAAGCGCAGCAUCGUUUUCUUCUCUCCAAACUCAGUGUUGUUGAUCCACCAUGAGUUUGAGGGGGGGUGUUAGAUGUGUAUAGUCUCUCUUGCCUUUACCAUACACAUGUAUAUGUACUGGCCCUUGGCCCUCCUGUGAAU
rnacentral:lncRNA from 1 species